CGCUGAAUUUAAGCAUAUUACUAAGCGGAGGAAAAGAAACUAACAAGGAUUCCCUGAGUAACGGCGAGUGAAACGGGAAAAGCUCAAACUUUAAAUCUAACUGGAGAAAUUCAGUUCGAGUUGUAGUUUUGGGAGACGGUGUCUAGGCUUUGUUCUCUUGGGGUUUAAGUCUCUUGGAAAAGGGCAUCAAAGAGGGUGAUAAUCCCGUAUUUGACCUCAAUAGACUAGAGAUUGUUUAAGUUUGGUGAUUGGAUGUCAAAGUUCAGUCAUUUGGAUUUUAAGUGAACUUUAGUAUUGUGAACGGAGUCAACAAUGUCAACGUCUCGUAGAGUCGGGUUGUUUGAGAAUGCAGCCUAAAGUGGGUGGUAAAUUCCAUCUAAAGCUAAAUACAGACGAGAGACCGAUAGCGAACAAGUACCGUGAGGGAAAGAUGAAAAGAACUUUAGAAAAGAGAGUUAAAAGUGCUUGAAAUUAGUUAAGAGGAAGCGAUU
rnacentral:rRNA from 1 species